rnacentral:tRNA from 1 species
GGAGAGGUGCCGGAGUGGCCGAACGGGCUGGUUUCGAAAACCAGUGUAGGCCUUGGUCUACCGCGGGUUCGAAUCCCGCCCUCUCCGCCA